CCUACGGGUGGCAGCAGUGAGGAAUAUUGGUCAAUGGGCGGAAGCCUGAACCAGCCAAGUAGCGUGCAGGAUGACGGCCCUACGGGUUGUAAACUGCUUUUAUACGGGAAUAACGCGCCUUACGUGUAGGGCUUUGCAUGUACCGUAUGAAUAAGGACCGGCUAAUUCCGUGCCAGCAGCCGCGGUAAUACGGAAGGUCCGGGCGUUAUCCGGAUUUAUUGGGUUUAAAGGGAGCUUAGGCCGCAUGUCAAGCGUACUGUGAAAGGUUCGGGCUCAACCCGGGCCUUGCAGCGCGAACUUGCGUGCUUGAGUCCGAGGAGAGCAGGCGGAAUUCGUCGUGUAGCGGUGAAAUGCUU
rnacentral:rRNA from 1 species